rnacentral:sRNA from 1 species
UCCGUAGGUGAACCUGCGGAAGGAUCAUUAAUAGUGCCCUCUGAUGCAAAUCAUUGGGUUAGAUCUGCUCUCUUCGCAAGAAGAGGGUUUCCAUACACACCGUGAACUGUGGCUUCGGCCAUCACAAACUGUUAGUAAUGAAUGUAAUAUCAUAACAAAAACAAAACUUUUAACAACGGAUCUCUUGGCUCUCGCAUCGAUGAAGAACGCAGCGAAAUGCGAUAAGUAAUGUGAAUUGCAGAAUUCAGUGAAUCAUCGAAUCUUUGAACGCACCUUGCGCCCUUUGGUAUUCCGAAGGGCAUGCCUGUUUGAGUGUCAUGAAACCUCACCCCACUUGGGUUUUUGCCUGAGCGGUGGUGUAUUGGGUGUUGCCUUGCUAAAGGCUCGCCUUAAAGACAUAAGCACCUUGGAUGUAAUACGUUUCAUCCUUCUGGGUGGCUGAUAGCCCCACAUAUUCAUGAUCUGGCCUCAAAUCAGGUAGGGCUACCCGCUGAACUUAAGCAUAUCAAUAAGCGGAGGAAAAGAAACUAACUAGGAUUCCCUUAGUAACGGCGAGUGAACCGGGAUGAGCUCAAAUUUAAAAUCUGGCGUCUUUCAGGCGUCCGAGUUGUAAUCUAUAGAGGCGUUUUCCGCGCCGGACCGCGUCCAAGUCUCUUGGAAUAGAGUAUCAAAGAGGGUGACAAUCCCGUACUUGACGCGACAACCGGUGCUCUGUGAUACGUUCUCAAUGAGUCGAGUUGUUUGGGAAUGCAGCUCUAAAUGGGUGGUAAAUUCCAUCUAAGGCUAAAUAUUGGCGAGAGACCGAUAGCGAACAAGUACCGUGAGGGAAAGAUGAAAAGCACUUUGGAAAGAGAGUUAAACAGCACGUGAAAUUGUUAAAAGGGAAACGCUUGAAGU